CUGCCUGUAGCCUAGUGGCUUAGGUACAGGAUUGGGACACCUGAGGUUGGUGGCUCAAGUCCCAUCCUAGGCAGA